UACCUCAAACCUAUCAAAGCCAUUCAUUAGUAGUGGUGGGGAGGAGGAGGUGAAGUGUAUAAGUAAUGAUGAGGUGGCGGUGGUGGCGGUGGGGAUUUGUAUUUGUAAGGGUGAUGUGGUGGUGGGUAGUGCGGUGGUGGUGGUGGUGGUGGGGAUUUGUAUUUGUAAGGGUGAUGCGGCGGUGGGUAGUGCACUGGUGGUGGUGGUGGUGGUGGUGAUGGUGGUGGUGGCGGUGGCGGUGGGGAUUUGUAUUUGUAAGGGUGAUGUGGUGGUGGGUAGUGCGGUGGUGGGUAGUGCACUGGUGGUGGUGGUGGUGGCGGUGGGGAUUUGUAUUUGUAAGGGUGAUGUGGUGGUGGGUAGUGCACUGGUGGUGGUGGUGUUUGUGGUGGUUGCUGUGGUUUUUUGUAUUUGUAAUUUAUUCGUGGUGGGUUGGUGAUUUGCGGUGGUGUGGUAGUUCACUUGUGGUGGUGCGGCGGCGGCGGGGACUUGUAUUUGUAAGGGUGAUGUGGUGGUGAGUAGUGCACGGGAGGCGGUGGUGGCGGGGGCGUGGACUUGUACUUGUAAGGUGUGCGUGGUGAGUAGUGCAUGGGUUGGCGGCGGCGGGGACCUUGUAUUUGUAAGGGUGAUGUGGUGUUAGUAGUGCACGGGUGGUGGCGGCGGCGCCGGCGGGGACUUGUAUUUGUAAGGGUGAUG
rnacentral:lncRNA from 1 species